AUACAAAUAGGGGAAUGAGGAAAUUCCGACCCCAUCUGAAAAGGUCUGAGAGGCGUAUACUAGGUUUAAACUUAAAAAUUAUUUCAGAGAGCAAUGCGGUAAACCGUCAUUUGACUGUACAACCCAUUACAGCUAUACGUACAACCCCCCACGAAGUAUAUAGCAUAAGAGAGAGGAAUUCCAUCCAGACGCAAACUCUGGGAGAUAGAGAGAGAAAUUGCCGCAGUACAUCUGUACAAAAUUGACGAUCAUCUAUAAUUUCCGCUAGGGUUUUGAUAAAUUAUCUCCUAUUAAUUGCAAAUUGAUGCAAUUAUUCAAACCCUACAUGCGAGGGCGCUUACCUGUGGAGUGAGACCCAGCUUCAGUCCUGGGGGAGUGAAAGUUGUGUAAUCAGUAGGUGUUCUUGCAUCGGUUGGAUAAGGAUUAUGCUUCCAAUGGAGAUCCAUUCGUCGCCGGAAAUCGUGGCUCCAUCUCAUUACGAUCUUAUUGUUCAGAGGCUUUCGCAGUUGGGGAUUCCUGGGGAAAAUUUGAAUCAAGGGCCGCGUGGUUUGGCUGCUUUUGCAAAGAGUAACAGAUCUCGCAUAGGAGACUUGGUGUCUGCUAUAUUGCCUUCUGAUGAAGAUGAGGUUGAUGAAGAUGUAUUCCCUGAGUGCAUUAUUUGGCUGCAGUGGUUGAUGUUUGAAGGCGACCCUCGAGUCGCACUUGAGCGCCUGGCUAAAAUGAGUGCUAAUCAGAGAGGUGUUUGCGGGGCUGUUUGGGGGAGCCGAGAUAUUGCUUACCGCUGCAGGACUUGUGAGCAUGACCCCACAUGCGCAAUUUGUGUUCCUUGUUUUGAGAAUGGAAACCACAAGGACCAUGAUUACUCCAUCAUAUAUACUGGUGGGGGGUGCUGUGAUUGUGGGGAUAUUACCGCAUGGAAACGCAAAGGUUUUUGUUCAAAACACAAAGGCGCUGAGCAGAUUCAACCACUUUCCAAGGAUGUAGUGGAGUCUUUGGGGCCUAUUCUGGAUUUAUUGCUCGGUUUUUGGAGAGACAAGUUACUUUUUGUGAAAAAUUUGAUCGGAGAGACACCUACGGUGGUUGGUCAUGCUGCUGCUGUACUCCAAAAGGCUGCAGAUGAGCUGACCUCUGUUGUGGUGGAGAUGCUAUUAGAAUUUUGUAAUCAGAGUGAAAGUUUGCUCAGUUUUAUUUCUCAAAGAGUAUAUUCUUCAGCAGGUUUACUGGAUAUUUUGUUAAGGGCAGAGAGGUUUGUUGAUGAUGGCAUUAUUGUGAAGCUCCACGAGUUGCUCCUGAAAAUGUUAGGUGAACCAGUGUUCAAAUAUGAGUUUGCAAAAGUGUUUGUACUCUACUACCCGACUUUUAUUAAUGCCACCAUAAGCGAGGGCAGUGACGCUGAUUUCAAAAAGUAUCCGCUGAUGUCAACAUUCUCUGUCCAAAUUUUGACUGUGCCGACUCUUACCCCACGACUUGUUGCGGAGAUGAAUCUUCUGGGAGUGCUGUUGCAAUGUUUGGGAAGUAUGUUUGCUUCUUGCUCUGGAGAAGAUGGAAAGCUGCAGGUUAAUAAAUGGGCAAACCUGUAUGAAACUACUAUUCGUGUGGUUGAAGAUCUUAGAUUUGUAAUAAGCCAUUCUACUGUAAGCAAAUAUUUAUGCCACCGUAGGCGGGAUUUAGUUAGGAAAUGGAUGAAAGUCUUGGCUUCAGUGCAAGGGAUGAACACCCAAAAGAGAGAAAUAGGUAUCCACCCCGAAGAUGAAAAUGAGAAUGCCCAUUUGCCUUUCAGUCUAUGUCACUACAUACAUAAUGUUCUUUCUCUUCUAGUGGCUGGGGCAUUUUCGGUGAGUAUUCAUGAUGAUACUAGGGAGGAAACUUUCUUCAGCUCAUGUAUAUUAGAUUGUGAAGACCAAGACAGCCAAAGACAUGCAAAAGUUGGAAGGCUAUCUCAAGAAAGCUCCGUUAGUAGUAUUAUAGGCAAGAACUCAUUGGAUGAUGAGGCCAAGGCUGUUGAUAGUUUUCCUGUGCCGUCGUCUGCUUUGUGGUUAAUAUAUGAAUGCUUGAGAUCAAUCGAAAAUUGGUUGGGACUGGACAAAACACUGGGCCCUCUCAGUGCCUUAUCUCUGAAAACAAGUGACGGCUCUGGAAAUAAUUUCCUUGCCCUUAAAAGAACGCUCUCUAGGUUCAGGAGAGGUAAAUAUAUAUUUAAAUCAUCCACUUCAUCAGAUGGUAAGCCUGGAACCUUUGGCGAUUCUGUGAACAGACAAAGUUCUUCUCCAUCCCAGGGUGGUUUGAAAAUUGGCGUAGGAUUGGAGUAUGGCCAACCCAUAGGACAAGCUUCUACCGGUGGUUCUGAUGACAACUUCCUUGAAGGAGAGAGCUCCUGCGAGCUAGAAGGCCUGCGAGUGCUGAGUUUGUCGGGUUGGCCUGAUAUCGUGUAUGAAGUUAGUUCCCAGGAAAUCUCUAUACACAUUCCAUUACACCGACUCCUUUCAAUGGUUCUGCACAGGGCACUUAAAGAAUGUUAUGGUGAAUCUGGAUCAUCAUAUCUCCAGAGGACUGGCUCUGCAGAUCGUUCAUCUGUCAGAUACAAUGACUUCUUUGGCCAGGUUUUGGAUGGAUGCCACCCUUAUGGGUUUUCUGCCUUUCUGAUGGAGCAUCCUCUGCGGAUAAGGGUUUUCUGUGCGCAGGUUCAUGCUGAAAUGUGGCGCAGAAAUGGGGAUGCUCCCAUAUUAUUCAGCGAGUGGUAUCGUUCCGCCCGCUGGUCUGAACAAGGUCAGGAGCUUGAUCUUUUCUUGCUCCAAUGUUGUGCUACAUUAGCUCCACCAGACCUUUAUGUCCAGAGAAUUCUGGAGCGCUUUGGGCUAUCAGACUACCUGUCCCUGGAUCUUGAACAGUCUAGUGAGCACGAACCAGUUCUAGUUGCCGAAAUGCUUAGUCUUCUAAUACAAAUAGUGAAAGAACGAAGGUUUUGUGGGCUAACCACUGCAGAGUGUUUGCAAAGGGAGUUGGUCUACAAGCUCUCCAUUGGAGAUGCCACUCGUAGCCAGCUUGUCAAAUCUCUUUCCCGUGAGCUUGGAGCAGUUGAAGAACUUCAAGAAGUAUUGGACAGAGUUGCAGAAUAUUCGCAUCCAUCUGGCAUGACUCAGGGCAUGUAUAAGCUACGGUCAUCAAACUGGAAGGAACUUGAUCUAUAUCAUCCUCGUUGGAACUUGAGGGAUCAGCAAGCAGCAGAAGAAAGAUACUUGCGGUUUUGUAAUGUUUCUGCAUUGACCACUCAACUUCCCAGAUGGACCAAAAUUUACCACCCUCUCAGAGGAAUAGCUAAAAUCGCUACUUGUAGAACGCUACUCCAAGUCAUCCGUGCCGUUCUAUUCUAUGCUGUUUUCAGUGACAAAGUUACAUCAUCGCGUGCUCCUGAUGGUGUGCUUCUAACUGCAUUGCAUUUAUUGGCACUGGCAAUGGAUAUCUGUCGACUACACAAGGAGUCGGAUGAUCUGUUAUGUCACGAGGGUGAUGUAAUUCCAAUUUUAGCAUUUGCUAGUGAAGAAAUAUGCAUGAGCAAGUAUGGUGAUCAGAGCAUGUUGUCGCUUCUUGUCUUGUUGAUGAAGAUGCACGAGAAAGAAAACGCACGAAACUUCAUGGAAGCUGACAAUUUUAAUUUAUCAUCUUUAAUUUUAAGUAUAGUCAAGACCAUUGUGGAGCUUGAACCAGAAUGCAUGACCAAAUUGCAGAAACUUGCACCUCAAUUAGCUGCUCAAUUUUCACAUUCUCUUUCAAAUGAUAGUGCUAGAGACACGGAUUUGAGUUCUGACAGCGAAAAGCACAAAGCAAAGUCUCGAGAAAGACAAGCUGCUAUUUUGGAAAAGAUGAGAGCCCAGCAGUCGAAGUUUUUGGAGAGCUUUCAUUUCGACGGAGAUGAUGAGAUGGAUGAAAUGGAUGAUACCAAGUCUGAGCAAGAAGCUUCUGACUCUGACAUUAGCGAUGAUACCCAAGAGUCUGCUCAAGCCGUUUGCUCUCUGUGCCAUGAUGCUAAAUCUAGAAGUCCAGUAUCAUUUUUAGUUCUUCUCCAGAAAUCCAGGCUAUUGGGUUUUGUCAAUCAAGGGCCUCCUUCGUGGGAACAAGUUAGUCGAUCCGGUAAAGAGCAUGUUUCUUACGUGACAACCUCAAGCAAUCAUUUAUCUCCAAGCAGCAACUCGGAUGAUUCAGAAAUGAUCUCAUCGUCUGAGUUGGAAGAUUCGGUUCAGAGUGCUUUAAAAGAUUUUGCUUAUACAGGAAAACCUCGGGAAGUAAAUGCUCUUGUUGAAUUUAUUAAAGCCCGAUUUCCUUCCAUUAAGAAUGUUCGAGCCCCUUGUGAUUCAAAAGAUACAAGGGAGAUGACUUCAUCUUCCCUUGAGACAUUGGAAGAACAUAUGUAUUUGUCGAUCAGGGAGUUUCAAGCUAGUUUGAACGGCUCAGAUUCUAAAAAAGGCGAUGAAAAAUGUACAACUGCUGGAAGCAGCAAGGAAAGACGAGACAAUGCUGAAUCUUUCGUGCUUGGUAAAUACAUAGCGGCUCUGCCUAAAGAUCCACAAGAUAACCCUUCGGCUUCACAGAAUGACAGCUCGGGACUGGUGACAAUGAAAUCCGGAUCCAGUAAACACAGUACAGGAUAUGAUAACUUUGGUCCUGAUGGUGGUGAUGGAAUUUAUGUUUCGUCCUGUGGGCAUGCAGUGCAUCAAGAAUGUCUGGAUCGGUAUUUAUCAUCACUAAAGGAAAGAUAUAUCAGAAGAAGUGUAUUUGAAGGAGGACACAUUGUGAAUCCAGAUCAGGGUGAGUUCCUUUGUCCAGUGUGCCGGGGACUUGCUAACUCUAUCCUACCGGCUUUGCCUGGAGAUCUUAGAAAACUUCCUCAGCUACCUGCUGGCUCAACCAUCAACGUUACAGAUGCUAGCAGCCCUUCCACCUCGUCGGAUGAUGGUGGAAGUUCCUUUCGUCUCCAAGAUGCUUUGUCACUCCUACAGAGGGCUGCAAAUGUUGCCGAAAGUAGUGAGGCUCUAAAAACUUUAGCAACACAAAAUGUGAGAAUAAAGCCAAAUCCUAAUCUCGAACCUAUCAUUCGUUUACUGUGUGGAAUGUAUUAUCCCGGCCAGGAUAAGAUUUUAGAAACUGGAAGGAUAAGCCAUUCAUUGAUUCUAUGGGACGCGCUGAAGUACUCGCUCAUGUCAACCGAAAUUGCAGCUCGAUCAGUAAAGAGCUCACUGAGUCCAAAUUACAGCAUUGGUGCUGUAUUCAAGGAACUUAACUCUUCUAGUUGCUUUAUCCUGACCUUGCUAUUAGAUGUUAUUCAAAGCACACGGACAACGGAUUCUCAGACUAUCCUAUUAAGAUGUCACGGCCUUCAGCUCUUUGUCAGGUCUUUAUGCCCUGGUGCCUAUCAAGAUGAAUUAUCCAAUCGCUCUAAACGGCAAGGAGGUACUAUGCUUUAUAUCCUAGAGAAUGCGGAUCCAAAGGUACGGUACCCAGACGUACAACUGUGGAGACAGGCAUCUGAACCUAUCCUUGCCCGUGAUGCCUUUUCAUCAUUUAUGUGGAUUCUCUUCUGUCUUCCAUGGCCCAUAUUGUCCUGCAAGGAAUCCUAUUUCUCGCUUGUGCAUGUUUUUUAUGUUGUUACUGUGACACAGGCUAUAAUUAUAUGUCACAACGCUAGGAAAAGCAAAGAAACCGAAGUGGAAUUUGUUGAUAAUUUGAUCACCGACAUAUAUCAAUUGUUGGGCGAACGUCGAGAAGCCGCGCAGUAUUUCCAAUCCUACUUCUGCGAUCCCGCGUAUGAUAUUAAUGACGCAAUCCGCAGCAUAACUUUUCCAUACUUGAGGAGAUGUGCCCUGCUUUGGAAGCUAAUAAAUUGCUCAAAAAUAAUGCCGUUUGGUAAUGGUGUCCGGUCAUGGGGCGGAUCUUCGUACGAAUCUGAUUAUUUCGAGUCCUCUGCUAAUACUGCAGAAGAGCUUACGGAGAUUCAAAAGCUGGAGAAGAUGUUUAACAUCCCUUCCCUUAACCUCAUUGUUAAUGAUGUAGAGACAAGGUCGACAGCUUUGAGAUGGGUGGGCUGUUUUCUUGAAAUGUUUGAACCCGAUACAUCUCAAAGCUUAUUGAGAUGUACGCCUGCAGUUCCAUUUAAACUGAUGGUUUUGCCUCAUCUUUACCAGGAGCUAUUGCAAAGGUAUAUCAAAAAGUGUUGCCCUGACUGUGGAGUUGUAAAGGAGGAGCCUGCAUUGUGCUUGUUGUGCAGUAAAAUAUGCUCACCGAACUGGAAGGCAUGCUGCAGUGAAAGCGCUUGUCAGACUCAUGCAAUGUCCUGCGGUGCUGGCAUUGGGGUAUUCUUAUUGAUUCGGAGAACCACAAUCUUGCUCCAAAGAUGUGCACGUCAGGCACCUUGGCCUUCUCCAUACUUGGAUGCAUUUGGUGAAGAGGAUGUUGAAAUGUAUAGGGGAAAGCCAUUGUUCCUGAAUGAAGAACGAUAUGCUGCUUUAACUCAUAUGGUGGCUUCUCAUGGUCUUGACCGGAGUUCAAAGGUGCUUCGGCAAACAACAAUUACUUCUUUUUUCACGUUUUAGACUGUCAAUAUGUAAUACCAUACAUUCUUCUCCUGAGAUUACAGCAAGAUAAUAUAUUUCCAGUUUCAAGCUUUAAUAGUGGACCAGAGAUUCAAUGCAGUGUAUGGUUUCCUGAAUGUACAGACUUAUAAAGCUGGAAGCUUCUUGGUGGCAGUGGCCAUCUGCGAGUAUCUAUUUUCCUCCGAUCAGUUCCAUUUGUGUGCGUUAAGUACCUAUUUUGUGUAUAACGUUGCUCGCUACUCUAUAAUGGUUUGUACUGUUAGUGUAAAUCGCUCUAUAUUAUGUAAUGGCUGUGUGCAAGUCCGUCGGUUGAACAGUAAAUCACUCGUCUAGGAAAUAAUUUGGUGCUUUUCAAAGAGUUACGUAAUCAGUUACUUUUUUUUUGCU